CCGAGCCCUGGCCGCCAGGUGCCUCGCCCUCUUUACCUGUGUGCCGGUCUUCUGCCGCACCUGUCAACAGAGGCGGCGACGGCGGCUGUGAGGUGGCCGCCGGUUUUGUUGUUUUUUUUUGUCUAGUUUUGAGGUUGUGUUUGUAGGUUGUGAAGGCUUGUUUUUUCUUAUUGUUUUUUAUGUUAUUGAUUUGUUGUCGUUAGGAAGGUAGUCAUUGAUUUAUUUUCAUUCAUAUUUUCUUGUUUAGUCGAUUAUUGUAGUUUCCAGGUUGUGUUGUGGGUUGUGAAGGCUUGUUUUUUGCUAUUGUUUUUAUGUUAUUGAAUUGUUGUUGUUAGGAAGGUAGUCAUUGAUUUAUUUUCUUAUUUAUUUAUUUUAUUGCAUCAUUUUCUUAUUUAGUCUAUUCUUGUAGUUUCCAGGUUGUGUUGUAGGUUGUGAAUGCUUAGUUUUUUGUUAUUGUUUUUAUGUUAUUGAAUUGUUGUCUUCAGGAAGGUAGUCAGUGCUUUAUUUUCAUUCAUAUUUUCUUAUUUAGUCUAUUCUUGUAGUUUCCAGACCGUGUUGUAGAUUGUAGUUGCUUCUUUUAAGUAUUAUUAUUUAUUAUAUUAUCUUUUCUACCUUUCCCAGAGUAUAUAUCAAAGGUAGAAUACAUUUUUUCAUUCAUAUUUUCUUAUUUAGUCUAUUCUUGUAGUUUCCAGACCGUGUUGUAGAUUGUAGUUGCUUCUUUUAAGUAUUAUUAUUUAUUAUAUUAUCUUUUCUACCUUUCCCAGAGUAUAUAUCAAAGGUAGAAUACAUUUUUUCAUUCAUAUUUUCUUAUUUAGUCUAUUCUUGUAGUUUCCAGACCGUGUUGUAGAUUGUAGUUGCUUCUUUUAAGUAUUAUUAUUUAUUAUAUUAUCUUUUCUACCUUUCCCAGAGUAUAUAUCAAAGGUAGAAUACAUUUUUUCAUUCACAUUUUCUUACUUUGUCUAUUUAGAACAGUACAAACAUUGCUACCUGUCCAACGCUUCAUUUUCACAAGUCUAGCUUAAGUGAUGGAUAGAGAUGAGCUUUUUUUAUUAUCAUUAGACAAAAACUACAUUAAUAAUACAGUUUAGAACAAUACAUUACCUGUCCAGUAUUGGGUGCCUUCAUUUCCACAAGUUUACCUGCAGUGGUAGAAAGAGAAGGGCUAUUAUUAUUAUUAUUAUUAUUACAUAGAGGUGUUAUUCAUGUGAGUAUAGAUAGAUAGAUGGGCAGAGAAGAACUUUUAUAAUUAUUAGGUGAAAAGAAACUGUACGAAGGCAUGAGGAUGGUUGCCUGUAGUGGUAGGUAGAGAAGGGCUUUUUCUAUUAUCACACAAAGAAGAGGUGUUAUUCAUGUGAGUAUAGAUAGAUAAAUGGACAUAGAAAAUCAUUUAUCUUUAUUACAAGAAGGCAGUGAGAAUGGUUCCUGUAGUGGUAGGUAGAGAAGGGCUUUUUCUAUUAUUAUCACACAAAGAGGAGGUGUUAUUCAUGUGAGUAUAGAUAGAUAAAUGGACAUAGAAAAUUAUAUAUCAUUAUUACAAGAAGACAGAGAGAAUGGUUCCUGUAGUGGUUGGUAGAGAAUAGCUUUUUCUAUUAUUACACAAAGAGGAGGUGUUAUUCAUUUUAGAGUAUAGAUAGAUAAAUGGACAUAGAAAAUCAUUUAUCAUUAGUACAAGAAGACAGAGAGAAUGGUUCCUGUAGUGGUUGGUAGAGAAGGGCUUUUUCUAUUAUCACACAAAGAGGAGCUGUUAUUCAUUCAAAGAGGUAUUCAAAGAAGUGUUAUUCAUUCAAAGAAGAGGAAUUAUUCAUGUGAGAUUAUAAUAGGUGAAGAAGAGCUGUUAUUCCUAUUAAACAUUUGAUAGAUAGAUAGAUGGAGAGUGAGCAGCUUUUAUUAUUAGUAUGCACAAAACAGAGUGUAUGCAGGCAGUAUGAAUGGUGUAAAUACUAUGCAAAGGUCAGUGGUACAUAUGUAAAGGCCUGGCACAUUUGUAUAGACAGCUUGGGAGGGAAAACACACGCUUGCAACACUGGGAACACUUCUGCAACACUUGAGGUUCAUAUGUGUGGGCACUGUGGCACUAGAAACACAUAGGCACUAGAUGAGAAUGCAACACACACACUCACACACUCGCACACAAACACAACACAAAUACAUGAGAGAAAAACAGUGGUUGGUGCCAAAACUAUAUAGGAACACACUUACAAAGAAACACAAAAGACACAGUAAGUUUAACCCGUGUAGCAGCGAGGGGUCAAAUUUGUGGCUUUACCGUGUAGCAGCGACGGGCCAAAUUUGUGGCUUUACCGUGUAGCAGCGAGGGGCCAAAUUUGUGGCUUUACCGUGUAGCAGCGACGGGCCAAAUUUGUGGCUUUACCGUGUAGCAGCGAGGGGCCAAAUUUGUGGCUUUACCGUGUAGCAGCGAUGGGCCAAAUUUGUGGCUUUACCGUGUAGCAGCGACCGGCCAAAUUUAUACCAUGAUAUAGACCUCCCAAAAUAGAUGAUACAUAAACUGAUCACAAAUGCGUUGAUAUAUAUAUUAUGAAAUGGUUUGUGUGAGGGGUGAUUUUUUCUCAUUUUCUCGCUUGGAGGGACCAUUAAGAAACAUGAUCCCCGCUGCUACCGGGUUAAACAAGGCCAGUAAAGUGCCAUGCAACACACAUGAAUUAAAGAAAAAUAAAACAUAAAAUCACAGCAAUACAGAAAAACAAGUUAGUAUUUGUGUUGCCUGAGGGUGCAUGGGGGGUGGAAGAAGGAGGGGGGUGGGGCAAGGUGUACAUACCUCACUCACCUGUACAGAAACACUACUAACGAACACAAAAACACUUACAAGUCAACGCCAGGGAGACUGUCCUCUGAGCCCCACCACCUCCCACAGCGCCCUGUUUUUUACAUAUGUCUAACAAUAUAAUGCUAUGGUUUGGAGGCUCAGGAGGACAGUUUGCCUGGCAGGGACUGUAACACAACUUCUCAGGAGCUACAGCCAAACAGAAUGGGUACAAGUGGAGCCAAAUUUAAUGGGUACAAGCAAGCAAGUAGUCAAACAGGAUGGGUACAAGUGGAGCCAAAUUGAAUGGGUA